CGUGUAGGCGGUUAGUUAAGUCUGAUGUGAAAGCCCCGGGCUCAACCUGGGAAGUGCAUUGGAAACUGGCAAACUUGAGUACGGGAGAGGGGAGUGGAAUUUCGAGUGUAGGGGUGAAAUCCGUAGAUAUUCGAAGGAACACCAGUGGCGAAGGCGGCUUCCUGGACCGAUACUGACGCUGAGACGCGAAAGCGUGGGGAGCAAACAGGAUUAGAUACCCUGGUAGUCC
rnacentral:rRNA from 1 species